rnacentral:rRNA from 1 species
GUGUACAAGGCCCGGGAACGCAUUCACCGCGACGUUGCUGAUUCGCGAUUACUAGCGACUCCGCCUUCACGCAGUCGAGUUGCAGACUGCGAUCCGAACUGAGACCGGUUUUCAGGGAUCCGCUCCAUGUCGCCAUGUCGCAUCCCGUUGUACCGGCCAUUGUAGCAUGCGUGAAGCCCUGGACGUAAGGGGCAUGAUGAUCUGACGUCAUCCCCGCCUUCCUCCGGGUUAACCCCGGCGGUCCCCCGUGAGUUCCCGCCAUGACGCGCUGGCAACACGGGGCGAGGGUUGCGCUCGUUGCGGGACUUAACCCAACAUCUCACGACACGAGCUGACGACGACCAUGCACCACCUGUGAACCCGCCCCGAAGGGAAACCCCAUCUCUGAGGUCGUCGGGAACAUGUCAAGCCCAGGUAAGGUUCUUCGCGUUGCAUCGAAUUAAUCCGCAUGCUCCGCCGCUUGUGCGGGCCCCCGUCAAUUUCUUUGAGUUUUAGCCUUGCGGCCGUACUCCCCAGGCGGGAUGCUUAACGCGUUAGCUCCGACACGGAACCCGUGGAAAGGGCCCCACAUCCAGCAUCCACCGUUUACGGCGUGGACUACCAGGGUAUCUAAUCCUGUUCC